AGUGGGCCUCCGCGAUCUCGGGAACCAACACCCCGAAUCCGGUGCCCAAGCAGGGAGGCCAGGUGCUUUAGGCGGCUCCAGAAAGGCCAGGCUUCGGAGCCUCUAACCUGAUGAAGGUGGGACUUCGGCAAAGUCGAGAAACCUAAGUCUGGGACAAGAGUCGGUAUACCCAUGGCCCACGUUCUUGCUCAGAAGAAGCAGACUGCAAAAUUCUGGAGGUGACAAAGGGAAGAUGAAGGCACAUAAACACCUGCUCCUCGCCUCCAGACCCCAAAGCAAUUUCGGCGAGUUUUGGAAGGGAAUGAAGGUGACAACUGUGCUAAGACUCAUCUGGCCUGGGAGCAGAUGGCGCAGGCCUGGAUGUCGCCACCGGAGAAGGUCCAUCGGGAAGCAGCCUGGCCUCGCGGGCGGUAAUAAGUCACUGUUUAUGGGUGUGGUUGUGAGGGAGGGACACAUGCAGGGAGAGAUUCAGGUUCUCGAGCGACUGGUGCUGAGGAGGUCGCCUGCUCUGGAUAAUAGUACCUUGUGGAAAACCGUUACCCGGAAGGCAGAAGUGUUGUGACUGUGGUGGACAAGGUGGAGGAGAGAGAAUUUCCAGGCAGCAGGAUUAUAAACAAAUUCACGCUGAGAAAUAGCCUGGUGACCUUAGCUAAAGUAUAUAAUAAGAGCAGACGAGAUUCCUGGAGGAGCAGCAGCUAUUAUGCAUCAUAAUGAUGAAAGCCACAGAAUAAAGAGCAAGAAGGUAGAAGGAGCCUGAGAACUUCAUGACAUUCUUGGACAGUGGUGCCAACCUUGGAUGAUUUACCUCAGGAUUUUUGGUUAAACAACAUAUAUUAACUCCUUUCUGUUUAACCCACUGGAGUUGAAUUUUCUGUUGCAAGCCCAGGACCAUGGGUGUGUUUCAUGGCAGAGAAAAGUGAAGAGGAGAAUUGUGUGUGUGUUUGAAGGAGAAACAGAUCAGCAGCCUUUUGAUUUGGCUCCUAAAGUAUCAAAUGUUUCUGGUGGGCAUAGUCUCUACGUUUGGUGGAGAGGUCUUCCUCACUCUGGUAUCCGAUCAUCUGAUGUCACUAGAAGACGAACCGUUUGGCCCUACUACAUAUAAAACCAUUGCGGUGAAAAAGGACAGCAUGGGGAUCCUAGAGACCGAAGUUGGACUGCGUGACUGAGGCUUAUGCCCAAGAUUCUAGGGUGAAACAUUGCUUGUUCCAAUGAGACUAUCUAAAGACUAUUUGAUACAAGUGUUGCUGAGAUGAUACAGACUUUUUAGAUAAGUGAGAAAUGAAUGUCUAGAAUAUUUUAAAAGCUACAGAAAGUAGACAGAAACGUUUUCAUUAGGAAUAGUUUAUAAAAGAAGAGAACGGUUUUCUUUAAGGAGCAAGGAAACUAAUAUUUAUUGAGCACUUGCUGUUUACCAGGCACUGUGUAUGUGUGUAUGUGCGUGUGUGUAUGUGUCUGCUCACAACGGCUCCGUGGGGUAGUGAUUAUUAGCUCCGUUUUAAUAAUGAAGACAUUGUGGCUCAGAGGGAGUAAGGUGCAAAGCCAGAAUUGCGAGACAAGAUUGUUGGCCUCCCGUGUCCAUGUGUCCACUCACUUUUCCUUUUGAAGGUCUCAGGUAAGGGGUAGCCUCACUGGGAUUUAGGCAGCCUGCCCCAGGGUCCUUGUUCUGACUACUGUGCUCCACUGCCUUUUAAGAGCAAAUUUAUCUUUUUACCAGGGAGUGACGACCUUAUCUAGAUAAGCAAAUUCAUAGAAUCCUGAUAGUAAACUGGAAUGUUAAUUGUUCUAAUAUUCUAUUGUUUUGACUUUCUUUAUCACUAAUACUGAAUAUGGACUGAAGGUCAGAUGACUCCUGUCCCAAGUAAGGGACUCUGAGCACCAGGGAAAAUGAUUCUUUUUAAAGUUUUACUUUAAGUAUUUCAUAAUUUACUUCAUUUUCCCCCAAUUGUAGUGGAGGUAUCUGGCUUAAAGAUCCCAAGGAUUGAUUGGUUGUUUUUUCACUCUUUAUUUCUGAAUUUACUUUUUUCCCAUUUUAAUUAUAGAAGUAUUUUCAAGGAUUACUGUCAAAACAUAAAAAUAUAUGGCUAAGAAAAAAUAUAUGUAUAUUGCAACAUUCCAAAGAUAAACAUACUUUAUGUGUUAGAAGAAACACAAUUUAUGGGCCUGGCCCACUGGCCAGGUGGUUGAGUUGACGCGCUCCACUUCCACAGCCCAGGGUUUUGCCAGUUUGGAUCCUGGGCGCAGACCUAGCACCACUCAUCAAGCCAUGCUGAGGUGGUGUACCACAUGCCACAACUAGAAGGACCCACAACUAAAAUAUACAACUAUGUAGUGGGGGGCUUUGGGGAAAAGAAGGAAAAAUAAAAAUAAAAAAAAGAAAAUUUAUGUGUUACAAAACACAUUUUAUGUGUGUUAAGCACAUUUUGUUGUGUGUCUACUUCUGGACAUUUAUAUACAUAUACUGUAUCUGUACAUUUUUAAAAGGGAUUAUCAUCUUUUAAAAACUUUCUUGUAACGUGUUUUUUACUUAAUGCUAUUUCUUAAGCAUCUUUACUGAAAGAUAAUAGAUAGCUAAUUAUUAACUCUGAAGAGCAAGGGUCAAGAAAUAUUUGUUGAAUGAAUGUAUAAUUUCCCUUUAUCACCAGCUGCUUCCAAGCCCCCUACUUCAGGUGUCUGGGAAUACCACAUGGCUUUAGGCCAAAAGCGUUUUGUCCCUCAUUAGGGCAAAAAAAAUUAAGGAUGUCUUUUCUCCUCCUCCUUCUAGUUCCAAUAAACCUACACUUUGUUCCCAUUCCCUCCUUUAGAGGUGCGAUGGAAAAGAAGUUUUCAGAUUCAGCUCCUUCCUGGACGGGUAAACUUGUUUUAAAAUGUCACACUUUUGUGCAGUAAGAAAACUCGAAAGUGCUAUUUGUAAGCUAAGUACUGAUAAAAUAGAAAUCUCCUACAUAUAUUAAGUGAAGAAAAGAGCUGCAGAAUAACGGUUAAAUAUUUUCCAUUUUAUGUAAAAGUUAGAUAAAAUAAACAUGGACAAAGAAA